rnacentral:rRNA from 1 species
AUUGAACGCUGGCGGCAGGCCUAACACAUGCAAGUCGAGCGAGCGGCGGACGGGUGAGUAAUGUAUGGGGACUGCCCGAUAGAGGGGGAUAACUACUGGAAACGGUAGCUAAUACCGCAUACUAUCGGAUAACCCAUAUGGGAUUCGCUAGUAGGUGAGGUAAUGGCUCACCUAGGCGACGAUCCCUAGCUGGUCUGAGAGGAUGAUCAGCCACACUGGAACUGAGACACGUCCCAAACUCCUACGGAGGCGGCAGUGGGGAAUAUUGCGCAUUGGGCGCAAGCCUGAUGCAGCCAUGCCGCGUGUAUGAAGCAGGCCCUAGGUUUGUAAAGUACUUUCAGUCGGGAGACGUUACCGACAGAAGAAGCACCGGCUAACUCCGUGCCAGCCGCCGCGGUAAUAC